rnacentral:rRNA from 1 species
UACGUAGGGUGCGAGCGUUGUCCGGAAUUAUUGGGCGUAAAGAGCUCGUAGGCGGUGUGUCACGUCGGCCGUGAAAACCUGGGGCUUAACUCUGGGCGUGCGGUCGAUACGGGCAUCACUAGAGUUCGGCAGGGGAGACUGGAAUUCCUGGUGUAGCGGUGAAAUGCGCAGAUAUCAGGAGGAACACCGGUGGCGAAGGCGGCCCGCUGGGCAGUGGCUGACGCUGAGGCGCGACAGCGUGGGGAGCAAACAGG